GUGGGGAAUAUUGGACAAUGGGCGAAAGCCUGAUCCAGCCAUGCCGCGUGUGUGAAGAAGGCCUUUUGGUUGUAAAGCACUUUAAGUGGGGAGGAAAAGUUGACGGUUAAUACCCGCCAGCCCUGACGUUACCCACAGAAUAAGCACCGGCUAACUCUGUGCCAGCAGCCGCGGUAAUACAGAGGGUGCAAGCGUUAAUCGGAAUUACUGGGCGUAAAGCGAGCGUAGGUGGUCAUUUAAGUCAGAUGUGAAAUCCCCGGGCUUAACCUGGGAACUGCAUCUGAUACUGGGUGACUAGAGUAGGUGAGAGGGAAGUAGAAUUCCAGGUGUAGCGGUGAAAUGCGUAGAGAUCUGGAGGAAUACCGAUGGCGAAGGCAGCUUCCUGGCAUCAUACUGACACUGAGGUUCGAAAGCGUGGGUAGCAAACAGGAUUAGAUACCCGAGUAGUCC
rnacentral:rRNA from 1 species